rnacentral:rRNA from 1 species
AACCUUUCCUAUUUGCCAGCGGGUUAAGCCGGGAACUUUAAGGAUACUGCCAGUGACGAAACUGGAGGAAGCGGGGACGACGUCAAGUCAUCAUGGCCCUUACGACCAGGGCUACACACGUGCUACAAUGGUCGGUACAAAGGGUUGCUACCUAGCGAUAGGAUGCUAAUACUCAAAAAGCCGAUCGUAGUCCGGAUUGGAGUCUGCAACUCGACUCCAUGAAGUCGGAAUCGCUAGUAAUCGCGGAUCAGAAUGCCGCGGUGAAUACGUUCCCGGGCCUU